UACGAAGGGGGCUAGCGUUGCUCGGAAUCACUGGGCGUAAAGGGUGCGUAGGCGGGUAUUUAAGUCAGGGGUGAAAUCCUGGAGCUCAACUCCAGAACUGCCUUUGAUACUGAGGAUCUUGAGUUCGGGAGAGGUGAGUGGAACUGCGAGUGUAGAGGUGAAAUUCGUAGAUAUUCGCAAGAACACCAGUGGCGAAGGCGGCUCACUGGCCCGAUACUGACGCUGAUGCACGAAAGCGUGGGGAGCAAACAGG
rnacentral:rRNA from 1 species